UACAGAGGUCUCAAGCGUUUGUUCGGAUUCAUUGGGCGUAAAGGGUGCGUAGGUGGCGCGGUAAGUCGGGUGUGAAAUCUCGGAGCUUAACUCCGAAACUGCAUUCGAUACUGCCGUGCUUGAGGACUGGAGAGGAGACUGGAAUUUACGGUGUAGCGGUGAAAUGCGUAGAUAUCGUAAGGAAGACCAGUGGCGAAGGCGGGUCUCUGGACAGUUCCUGACGCUGAGGCACGAAGGUCAGGGGAGCAAACGGG
rnacentral:rRNA from 1 species